rnacentral:rRNA from 1 species
UCCGGUUGAUCCCGGCGGAGGCUAUUGCUAUCAGGGUUUGACUAAGCCAUGCGAGUCGAGAGGUGAAAGACCUCGGCAUACUGCUCAGUAACACGUGGAUAAUCUGCCCUCAGAAGAAGAAUAAUCCCGGGAAACUGGGGCUAAUACUUCAUAGGAGACGGGUGCUGGAAUGCUCUGUCUCUGAAAGGUCCGCCGUCUGAGGAUGAGUCUGCGUCUGAUUAGGUUGUUGUUGGGGUAACGGCCCAACAAGCCUUUGAUCGGUACGGGUUGUGGGAGCAAGAGCCCGGAGAUGGAUUCUGAGACAUGAAUCCAGGCCCUACGGGGCGCAGCAGGCGCGAAAACUUUACAAUGCGAGCAAUCGUGAUAAGGAAACCCUGAGUGCCUGUCAACGCAGGCUGUUCUGGUGUCUAACACACACCAGGAGAAAGGGCCGGGCAAGACCGGUGCCAGCCGCCGCGGUAAUACCGGCGGCUCGAGUGGUGGCCACUAUUACUGGGCUU